rnacentral:lncRNA from 1 species
GGUCCUUACAUAUGAUUUACAAAGGCCCACAAGGGGUCUAUACACAGAAAUAAAGAAGCGAAAGGGUGAACAUCCAUAGUGAAAACCUAAGGGCCUAGUCUACCCUUGAAGAUUCAUCUCAGAUAGCAGCAUCUUCUAGCGCCACCUCCUCGAGCUUGCUUCCUCGAAGGAAAUUCCUUUAAUCACCAGCUCCUCUAGGUUUCCAGCUCGAUCCUACGGAAUAACAUCACCAAGAGAUGAGAUGAAUAAGAGGAAAAGGGAAGGAUGUAGAUGAGGCAGAAAAAAGAGAGGUAACCUGCUAAAACCAAAGGUUGAAGAUUCAGUGGGCCCCAGCCUCGAUGACCGGUUAUGCCACUUUAUCCUUUGGGAAAGUACCCAAGUAAUGAAGUUCUAUACUAGGCCAGGGUAGGACAGUGAGAAGCAGUGUAUAAAUUAAACACUCUCCCGAGCAGCGGUGUAGAGUCCUAACGCCCUUCUCGGUCGGAAGAAGUGUGCCGCCCUUGUAUCAUCAUCUCGAGCCAAUAAGAGCAGCAAUAGCAAGUAUAACAACAACAACAACAACAACAACAACAACAACGACAAGACUGUAUGAUCCUGCACAACACGGGGAAGCUCAGGCAGAAGGCCACCACACAGCUGAUAAGAAUUCUGCCACAGAACCUUAAAGCUGUGAACCCCAAGAAUGAUGAUUAACAAUAAAAAAGAUGGCGAGAAGAAAGGGAUGAAUGAAAGGAAG